AUAAGGAUUGUAGUAAACUUUUCUUGAGUUACUUUUCUUGCUGGCAAUUUAUUAAAGUUCUCUCAGAUUUGCUUCAUUCCAAAGCAUUACUUGAUUAUGGAUACAAUUUGUUUAAUUGUUCAGAGUUUUAUUUCUCUUUUUUCGGUUAAGAGUUGUUUAUAUGAAUUAUUAUGUUCUAAUUUAUUUUAUGAGGAUAUGAUUCCUACCUUAUAAUAUAACUAUCUAAAAAUUAUAUCUCUCUUGUAUGGUAAAAUGUUCAUUUUUCAUUAUGACGAUUAGUUCAUAGCAUUUCAUGUACUGACGACAAUGGUACUGCACCUUCGCAAGAACUGUAUGAAGGCAUUACUGGAAACUGCAUUGAUACUGUUCUUUUUAAUGAAUGAGGGACUGCAGUCUAACUGACAUUUUGCUCUCUCAUUUGAUAUGUUAGACAACUGAAUGUUCCAAUUGGUGUGGUGGGUGCUUGCCGACUUGUUAUAGCUUAUGAACAUUUCAAGGCAUGACUAUGUUAUCAUUAGAUUUUUAAGAAAUUUUAGAAUUUACUUUGCCUUUUUUCCUCUCUGAAAAGAAAAGAGAAAAUUGUUCAUCUUUUCUGAGAAACAUAUGUAUAUAUUGGUAUCAUGAUAUAGCCACUAUGGGUAACAUGAUGAAUCUUGUUUAGAUUUCAGACUGGCACCUAGAACACAAAUAAAAGUUAAGAUUGUCCUUUAAUUUGAACAUCGACUUAUUUGGUAAAGAAAAGAUAAUGACAUUUUGUUUUUAUUGUCCAGAAAACCUAAGAAACUUAAGGUGUCUAGUACUUAAAACUAAGAGUACAUUAUCACAGCAUGUGUUGGACACUUUUUGCUGACAUCAGAGGACACUUAAAGUGGAGUGUCCGGUUGUGUUAUGUCAAACUGUGCCCUAUUCAAGUGUCCAAAAGUGUCAGUAUUUCUUGACGGCUUAAAAAUGGAAUAUCCAGGUGACAUACUCAAAAAAUACUAAUUGAAGAAGUAUUUUUGAGGUUCUUGUGAACCUUGAUUGAAAUCCACACUUUAUGAUCAAAUUCUUAGGCAUAUUUCAGUGAUUCAAGAUGGGAAUGGGAAUCAUAAUACCAAAUAUUAUGACCUUGCUUGAGGCUGUUAAAUGUAAUUAAUCAAGUUAUUCAAAUGCCAUUGUUUUUAUUUUUAUUUUUAUUUUUAUUCUUAAAAGUUAUUUUAAAAAAUUAAUUUCAAGUUUAUGUACUUGUCAUAGUUUAUACAUGAAUGGCAUUUGUCUUCCGGCAGAAACAGAAACCCAUGUAAAAUAUUUAUGUGAUUAUGUCUGGGUGUAUAAUUAUAUAUUGAUGCCAACUGAGGAGUUGAUGCAAUGGACCUACAUCCCACCAUUAGCAGUUUCUCCACUAGAAACUAAGUUCUAUGCUUAUCAUCUAAAAGACAAGAACCUUCAACACUACAAUAAUUUUUUUUACUUGCUGCUGAUGUUGCCAGAGAUUAUUAAUAUGCUUAUGCAAAUUGUAUUGAACUCCUUCAGAGGACUCUCAGUCAUUUAACAUGUGGGAAUUUUUGGUUCAUUAGCUAGCCUUUUUGUCUUCUUUUAAUUUAUUUCACUUGCCCCUGUUGUCUUACCAACUUCUAUCUGCUCCUUCAUACUUAUCAUAGUACUCCUACAAACCUUCUAAAAUUUCUCCUUACAAGAGAGAAAAUUAAAUUGUUCUCACCUGUUGAAAAUCACUACUAAAUUCCUUGCCAUGCAUUAUUAUGUAGUUAUAAGAGACAGACACUACUUAUAGAUGAUUAUAUAGUCCUUUUGCCAUGCUUUUGUAUGUAGUUAAUGUAGCAGUCUUUGCUCAGACUACUAUUUCAUCUUGGAAACCUUUGCUUUUGGAUGCAUUGCUGGUUCAAGAAGUGCUUGAUGAGUUGGAUCAUUCUGGAAUGCUGCUUAAUGUAAUAUCUAAAGCUGUUGAAUUUCAGCUUGUUGAUGUUGUUAGCAAGGUACUUCAAGGAAACAAGUGGUUGCGAAAAGCCACUGGGAUCCAACCGAAGGUUCAUUAUCUCGUAGACUCAUUUGAAGAAAGAUACAUGUACCGUCCAUGAUAGCACAUAACAUUCAGGUUAUGAUGACUUGUCAGAAAUCAUACUUGUAUCAAGGGAAUUGAUGAAGACAUCUUAGCCAAGUUCCAAAUUGCUAUUGCCCCAUCUGCUCUGGCAUUUACCAAGAGUGCCGCUUUGUUUUCAAAGGCAGCUAUGUCCACUAGUGAUGUUGCUAUCUUGGAAGAUGCUGCUAAUGACCAGCUUGAUGUCCAUGCGGUGCUUCAGGACCAGGUUUAAAUGAAAAUGCUGAAGGCAAUCAUGGCCAGUCAACAAAUCAAACUGAUUUUCAGUUCCCUUUUGGCAGCUGGUUUCAAAAUCGGUGGUCAGAGUAACAUGGAAUACCACAAAUACUAGGAUCAAGAACAAGGAAGGAUGGAGAUGGUAUCAAUGAAAUUUCUUUGAACUCGCUACGCCUGAAGGUUACAAUGGUUGGCGUCUCAAUGUUUGAUUGGAGCCAGAAGAGCAGGGCCAGCUUGAAGAAGAUAAUGGCAGACCCGAUAGAGGAGCUCGAGCAAGCAAGUCAAAAAUCAACAAAAUUUAACGAAGACAAGGAUCCCCUGGUUGUUGCAAAUGUGGGUGACUUUUAUCACAAGUAUGACAUCUCCUCGACAGGCAUUUCUUGGAAGAGAAUCACCCAGAAUCGCAUCCUUACAUCAUAUUCCAUGAAGAUGCAUUGCAUCAUACACUGGAUCUUACACGAGCAUCACGUUUUGAUCUGUUACUGAUCCCACCACUGCCGACUUGAAAGAUCCACUUACAGCAGAUGGUUCCACUGCACGUAGAUUUGUGGGAACCGCUGAUCUUUGCUAUUUAUUCUUCAGCCAAUUCAGGAAAACCAUGUGAAGUCUUGGUGCAAGUGACUGGAAUAGCUGUGAAGCAUCUCCACUGUCUGGUGCAAGUAAUUUGAUAAUACUAUAACAAUGUAGCCAAAUUCAGGAGCCUGCAGCUCACACUUUGUGGGCCAAAGCAGUGUUAGUGCAUUAUGGAACCAUGAGUGCAAGGUGGUGCUUUGCCUGGUUACUUUUUGUUUCGUGGUCAUUGAUAAUAUUAUAUGUUACGCUUGCUUUCCAUGGAAUGGUUAAGAAGUUAUUAACGGUU